GCACCCUCAUUCCCCACUCUGCAGGCAGCAAAUGCUGCCUCUUCCUAGGGUCCCUUCCAGAGAGGUGUGCCUAUCCUAGCAAGGGCCCUGGGAACGUUUCUCAGAGCUGCCCUCCUUCUUUCUUUUUGUCACAAGUGUGGUGGCACACCACGGGCUGCUCUGUACUGGGCUAUUUUUCUUAGCAAUAUGGUCGGAAGGUCACUCUCGGUCCAACAGAGAGACUUGCCUUCGUCCGCUGAACCUCCCCUUGCUGUUCUGUGGUGGGAUGCCCCGUAGUUUCUGUACCCGACUGUGGUCGAUGGAUGCUGAGUUGUCUCCAGUGUUAGCUUUUGCUGCCAUGAGUAGCAUUUGUUAAAAUUAAAAAAAAAAAAAAGUGGGCUGGACACAGUGGCUCACGCCUGUAAUCCCAGCACUUUGGGAGGCUGAGGCAGGCGGAUCAUGAGAUCAGGAGUUCCAGACCAGUCCGACCAACAUGGUGAAACCCCAUCUCUACUAAAAAUACAAAAAUUAGCUGGGCCUGGUGGUGUGCGCCUGUAAUCCCAGCUACUCAGGAGGCUGGGUAGGAGAAUCACUUGAAACUGGGAGGAGGAAGUUGCAGUGAGCCGAGAUUGCACCACUGCACUCCAGCUUGGGUGACAGAAUGAGACUCCGUCUCAAAAAAAAAAAGUUCCUAUACAGAAACUUUUUUGAACUUUGAGAGAAGCAGGCCCCCAGCAGAAGCAUCUAUGGUGACUGCAGAAACAAAACACAAUUUGAAAAAAUGUUUAUUUAUUUUAUUUUUUAAGACAGAGUGUCACUCUGUUGCCCAGGCUGGAGUGCAGUGCACCACCUUGGCUCACAGCAACUCUACCUCCCAGGAGAAUUGCCUGAACCCAGAAGGUGGAGGUUGCGGUGAGCCGAGAUCGCGCCAUUGCACUCCAGCCUGGGUAACAAGAGCGAAACUCCGUCUCAAAAAAAAAAAUCAGUAUUCAAAGAGAUUUACUGCAAGGAACGGGCUGAUGUGAUGGUGGGGUCUGGAGAAGCAGGUUCCAAACUGCAGGGCAAGCCUUCCUCAGAGGCAGCG
rnacentral:lncRNA from 13 species